rnacentral:rRNA from 1 species
AACCUGCCUCAUAGGAGGGAAUAGCCUUACCGAAAGGAAGAUUAAUACCGCAAUAAGAUUGUAGCUCCGCAUGAAGUAGCAAUUAAAGGAGCAAUCCGCUAUGAGAUGGGCCCGCGGCGCAUUAGCUAGUUGGUGAGGUAACGGCUCACCAAGGCGACGAUGCGUAGCCGACCUGAGAGGGUGAUCGGCCACAUUGGGACUGAGACACGGCCCAGACUCCUACGGGAGGCAGCAGGUGGGAAUAUUGCACAAUGGGGAAACCCUGAUGCAGCAACGCCGCGUGAGUGAUGACGGCCUUCGGGUUGUAAAGCUCUGUCUUCAGGGACGAUAAUGACGGUACCUGAGGAGGAAGCCACGGCUAACUACGUG